rnacentral:lncRNA from 1 species
GCCUAAGGUACUUUGGAAAGAUAUUCUAACAGGACAAUGGAAAGGUCCUGACCCAGUGAUUAUCUGGAGUCGGGGGUCUGUUUGUGUUUUUCCACAGGGAGAACAGCAGCCCAUUUGGAUUCCAGAGAGAUUAACUAAAACAAUUUCUACAGAUCGAAAAGAAGAUGAUUUGACUCAAAUCCAUAACAGCUGAUAUCCAGAACUCCAGCUUGGCCAUUCUUACAUCUGCGACAGUGAUUAACUAGUGAUGCAAUUUUUAUUUCCUUGCCAGCGCACCCCAUGUUAAUUGUGGUAGUGCUGACAUAUCUUUGCUGAUGGUGUCACCAGUGAUGCAAUUUUUCCCAAGGAGCCG